ensembl:lncRNA
AAACAAAAAGACCCUUUUCAACAUUCAUUGUAAAGUUCAGCUUCUCUUGGAGAGCAUCAAACGCUGCUGUGGCUGUGAGAAGGAAGGUGAAAUAGAACUGGCAGAUGAGAAUGGCCAAGUGAAGAAUUUGCUCCAGAAUCAGGACCAGUACGCAUCACAGCUCCUGAGUGAGAGGGAGUUUUGUGUUUUACUCAAAGUCACACGUAUGUACAUUUGCAAAUCUCUACAUUGGAGAUGCUUUUGUUUUCCGUUGUAGCUAAAGAAAUACCCCCACACAGGUGAAGGUUGAAAGUUGAAGAGGAUUUUCACCCUGGAUUCUCAGCUUGAGUCUCUGUGCAUCCUUAGCUCCACUCAGAGACAGUGGGACCUAAUGAUGUUGAAAUUAGGGCUGCUUUUGAAAACGGUGUAGUGGAAGUCAGGAUUCCCUCCAUGUGUGACAGAGAUUCCCUCACAGUCCCAGUUCUACCUGCAGGAAAUGUCCUUCUGAAAGUUUCUGGGUUUAAUACUGUGUUUCUAUUCCUCACAGGACAUGAAGGUUCCCAAGAAGCUGUUUUUACACCACUGCUGAAAGAUCACAGCAUCGUCACUCCAAAGUUCUUGGGUAGGUUACCUGAGUGGAUGUUUCUAUAACCUUGUUCUCAGACAUGAGAGGAGAGAAAACCAUCAGUUGUGCUUCUAGGGUAGGAAUAAAAGCCUGAAUUAAAGAAGAAGGGGGUUAAUUUGUAGCCAAAAUGGGAAGUCUUUCUUUCCAGAACUAGAAAAAAUAAACCUAACUUCUUUCUUGUAAGAAGAAAAUGCUUGUUAAUAUCAUCCAUUGUGCAUACCAUGGAAGUAAAAUAAUUACUUGUGCUCUUCUUUUAUCAGUUCCUUUUUCUUUUCUCUCUGCAGCUAAAUUGGGGAAGAGGGAAGAUUCAAAAGUAUCACCUACCAGAGUGAAAUCCAGAAAAUAUGGCAAACAAGCAACCUUGCCUUUGGAAGUUCCACCCACAGAAGGUAAAAGGAGUCAUUCACCACAGGGCAACAAGAAUAAAACUGUGGCUUCCUCUUCCAAAGAAACUGGGAAAUUCUAAUCAUGGCAAAUCAAAGGAGUUGCUUGGUACUGAGUUUUGGAGGCUAUCUCUAGGCAUGUUAGUUUAUUCCUUGAUGAAACACACAAUUUGUUGGGUUUUUUUCCAAAAGUGUGAAGUAGUAAAUGCCUCGUUUCUUUGAGAAAAGAAUAGUCUCACUGAAAUAGUUGAUCAGUGAGUCACUUUGAAGCCAGGUACAUGUUUAAUAACUUUGCCAAAUGAAGCCUUGGUUCUUGCAGACACUGGGCUGUUGUUGAAUCACGGAAAUUGGCAGAAGGACAAGCUGCAAUGCCGGGUUGGUUCAUCUUUAACUCAGUAGUUUUACUUUUGGAAUUAUUGAAGUAGUCAAUUAACACAUCCAUAGUACUUUCAUCUCAACUUUUACCUGACCAGCUUCUUUAAAUAACUUUGUAGCUCCUUGGGUGGGUCGUAUCUUACACGGACUGGACCCUGGUCCGUCUUUCACAUACCUGUUGAAUCAUCAGUCCUCCUGAUUUGUUGUGCUAAGUACUUGUAUAUGUACAGCACAAUGAGGAACGUAUUAAAGCUGCAUAUAAAGUUUUAGAUAAUCUUGUAAAAGCUAUAGAUGAGUCUUUCUUUUUCAAGGUUCCUCUUAAAAAAAUAAAAAAGGGCUGUAAAAUCUAAUCA